rnacentral:lncRNA from 1 species
CCGGAAAUAAAAUAAACGUAAAUGUUUUUUAUAAAUAAUAGUCUAAAAAAGUGUCUGCUACCACUAGGAUGAAUCAACGGAGUCUGUAAACUGAAUCUAGAAUAUCUCCUCUAGCCACGUGCCUCGUUACCUGCAUCCUCAAUACCUGCCACACGACGUAGCAGGCCCAAACGGGAUAAGUAUCACCAAUGGAUACUCAGUAAAUCUCAUAGGCUACCUUCUAAAAAGGCGGAGCGAGACCUUCUGGAAAUUAUAAGAAAGAAAAGGGAUAUACGAAAAAUUAUAUAAAUCAUAUAAAAUUUUACAACCAAGUAAUAAGCUGGAAACUGAAACUGUAAGGUAAACUGUAAUCUGAAAUUGAAACGUAACGUAGAAAUUGAGCCCAUAACUGAUAUCUGAAAUAGAAACUGAGUUAUAUAUAUUUUAAGACGUAACUUUGUAAAGUUAAUUGUUACGCAUAAUGGCCCUGUGUAUGUGAGCAUCUAGGAAAACAUAUGGGGGAGUGUCAGCCUAUCUCCCCAACAAACAGUUGGCACCUACGAGCGUGGGGUAGGUAACCCUGACAUCAUGGCACUCACGCUGGAGGAGGUUGGCAAUUUCUCCCUAUCGAAUGUGAUCACAUUAAUGCAUGAAUUAAUGUUGAAGCUGAAUACUUAACUGAAUGUGAAUAUCAUAAAUAAAAGGCACAUAACAACUGGUAAUACACAUAAGCAUGUAUUCAUGUCACAUAUAAGGUUUUACUGAAUAAGAAUAAAGUGAACUGAGUAUUAGAUCACGAGAAGAUAUGACUUAGCUUUAUCUAGCAAAUGGAGCACAACGGUUUUAAUGAAAUUUCCUACUAGAAAAGUAAACCUCAACUCACCUCAAUUACAAGCUUAAUUUUGCAUCCACGUAUUUUUCAGGCAAUCCCAAGUCACCAAUUUCUCUAACUACAUGAUAAUUGGGUUCAACUUAAAUUAAUACAUGUCCAAAGAAUACAACUAUAUACAUAAUUCUCUUAUUCUAGGAAAUCCCACUUAGGUUCUAAACACUAAUUAGUCCGCAAUAACUCAAUAAAUCGAUUUAUAACGUUUAAUCCCACAACUCAUUAAAACAAGCUAUAACUAUGAAGUUUUCUAUUUUUUUUCUUCCAAACUUCAUCACUGCCCAGCAAUGAGUUAUCAUGAUUCCAAUAAUAAAUUCAUAGUAAAUGCAUCCAAGGCUAUUACUAUAUUGUAAUAACAUUAUUGAAUAAAGCCCAAGCAUUUAAAAUCUUUUUUAAAAAAAACAAUCCAAAUUUCAAAAUCCUACCCAUAUCUCAAUUGAUAGUAGAUAAAUAAUUUUUAUCAGAGAAGAGUAUAUGGGUACCUGAGAAUGAGAGUCAAUCUGCCACUUUUGUUUACAAAAUUCUCGUGAAAUCAAACUCUCAAGAUAACCCAAGCAGUUCCAUACUUGCGGUGAACAAGCUUGAGAAAACGAAAACUUUAUUUUCUUUCUUUCUUGAAAUUAGC